rnacentral:rRNA from 1 species
UACCCGCAGCCCGAGUGGUGCUCGUUAUUAUUGGGCCUAAAGCGUCCGUAACCGGCCUCGUAAAUGCCUGGGGAAAUCGUAUUGCUCAACAAUACGAAGGCCCGGGUAGACUGCGAGGCUCGAGACCGGGAGAGGCCAGAGGUACUCCGGGGGUAGAGGUGAAAUUCUGUAAUCCUCGGGGGACCACCGGUGGCGAAGGCGUCUGGCUAGAACGGAUCUGACGGCGAGGGACGAAGCCCUGGGGCGCAAACGGG